UACGAAGGGGGCUAGCGUUGCUCGGAAUCACUGGGCGUAAAGGGCGCGUAGGCGGCCACCGCAAGUCGGUUGUGAAAUCUCCGGGCUUAACCCGGAAAGGUCAAUCGAUACUGCGGGGCUAGAGUGCAGAAGGGGCAACUGGAAUUCUCGGUGUAGCGGUGAAAUGCGUAGAUAUCUGGAGGAAUACCGGUGGCGAAGGCGGCAUCCUGGACCGAAACUGACGCUGAGGCGCGAAAGCUAGGGGAGCAAACGGG
rnacentral:rRNA from 1 species